UUUAAUAGUAGAUUGAUUUAUUUGAUUUAUUGCGAUAUGAGAUCAGGAUAUUAUGAUGCUUAAUUUGUUUGGAUAUAAUUGAAUGCAUGCUGAACGAUUGAGUUGUAUAAAUGUUUGAUGACAGGUAGAGAUUUUGGAAAAUGAGUAAAUUACAAGGGAAACUUUGUCGAAUUUUUGGCAGAAGAUAAUCUUAUUUUAAAAGUGAAUUUUUAGUUAGAAGGGUAGUUUGGUCUUUGUGCCAGGCAUUAGCUAGGUGUCGGACACUCACAGGGUUCGGCUCAGAUUCCAAAGUGGAAUUUUAGUCGGGU
rnacentral:lncRNA from 1 species